rnacentral:rRNA from 1 species
GACAAACGCUGGCGGCGUGCCUAAACAUGCAAGUCGAACGGCUCUUUCGGGAGCAGUGGCGGACGGCUGAGUACCGCGUAGGUGACCUACCCUGGAGUGGGGAAUAACGCUCCGAAAGGAGCGCUAAUACCGCAUACGACCAUUCUGUUUUGGCAGGAUGAGGAAAGCCGUGAGGUGCUCUGGGAUGGGCCUGCGUCCGAUUAGCUAGUUGGUGUGGUAAGGGCGCAUCAAGGCGACGAUCGGUAGCUGGUCUAAGAGGAUGAGCAGCCAGACUGGACUGUGACACGGCCCAGACUCCUACGGGAGGCAGCAGUUAGGAAUCUUGGGCAAUGGGCGAAAGCCUGACCCAGCAACGCCGCGUGGGUGACGAAGGCCUUCGGGUCGUAAAGCCCUUUUGCACGGGAAGAUGAUGACGGUACCGUGCGAAUAAGCCCCGGCUAACUACGUGCCAGCCGCCGCAGUAACAC